AUCUAGCUGCCACCUAUACACCCUAGCUACCACCUACAAAUCCUACAAGCCACCAUACUUACUUCUUUAUAUUCUUUGCUUUUUUUUAUCACUAGCAACUUAUCUAAGGUAAUAUCUUUUACUAAGUGACUUACUUCAAAACUCCCACUUUGCUAUUGGUCAAAGGGCUUUCAAUCCUAAAGCCUUUGUCAAUAUGUGAUGUCUAUCCAUUACUAAUGCCUUUGUCAACAAAUCAGC
rnacentral:lncRNA from 1 species